UACAGAGGGUGCAAGCGUUUAAUCGGAAUUACUGGGCGUAAAGCGCGCGUAGGUGGUUCGUUAAGUUGGAUGUGAAAUCCCCGGGCUCAACCUGGGAACUGCAUUCAAAACUGUCGAGCUAGAGUAUGGUAGAGGGUGGUGGAAUUUCCUGUGUAGCGGUGAAAUGCGUAGAUAUAGGAAGGAACACCAGUGGCGAAGGCGACCACCUGGACUGAUACUGACACUGAGGUGCGAAAGCGUGGGGAGCAAACAGGA
rnacentral:rRNA from 1 species